UGGCUCAGUGGUUAAGAGCACUGGCUGCUUUUCCAGGGAUCCUGAGUUCAAUUCUCAG
rnacentral:tRNA from 1 species